CCCACCUGUGGAGAACUACACCUGGUUUAAAGAAGGUGGAGACUCACCUGUAGGAUCUGGACAGAGUUUCAGCAUCAUCAGCAUCACUGCUGAUCACACUGGACUGUACUACUGUGAAGCUCAGAAUGCAGUUGGAGCUCAGAAUGGAUAUGUGAUGAUUGGUGUUCAGAAAAAACAUCAGAUCAGCUGUGCAGUUUGGAUGGUAGUGGAAGGAGCUGGAUUUCUUCUUCUCUUUCUGAUGGUCUUAUUCUUCAUCUACAGGAUGAAGAAAAGAGCUGCUGGAUCUGAAGUUACUGGAUCAAAUCAGGUAAAUUUAUCUUAUUAAUCACUGAUAAGCACAUGUAAUUAUGAGGUUCACCAGGAGGUGGCAGUAAUUUCCUUUAGAUCAAAUCAACAAAUCUAAUGUAACUCAAUAAAACAUGAUUAAUUAAUCUCCUUUAUGAUCUGGAUCAGAUGUGAUGGAACAGGUUAUGCUGGAGAAGCUGCAGUUCAGUGAAAAUCACUGUAAUUCCACACUGUGUCCUUUAGGGGGCAGUAGGUGUCUCUGUAAGGUUUAUGGGAUAUCAGUGAGAAAAGGUGAGGGUGCUGUCCAAGGUUCUGAUCUAAGAGCUGAACCUGAAUCAGGACUUCUGAUUACAGAACAUUACAGAGGUCAGGACUCUCCAGAAGGUGUAUUUUCUUC